GAGCACGUAGGUGGGUUUGUAAGUCAGAUGUGAAAGCCUUCUGCUCAACGGAAGAAUUGCAUCUGAAACUGCGAGUCUUGAGUGUAGGAGGGGAGAAUGGAACUUCUGGUGGAGCGGCGAAAUGCGUAGAUAUCAGAAGGAACUCCGGCGGCGAAAGCGAUUCUCUGGCCUAUUACUGACACACAGUGUGCGAAAGCUAGGGGAGCAAACGGGAUUAGAUACCCCGGUAGUCCUAGCCGUAAACGAUGGGCACUAAGUAGAGGGGUUUU
rnacentral:rRNA from 1 species